rnacentral:rRNA from 1 species
UAAGCCAUGCAUGCCUUCGAAUAAGAGGAAGCAAUUCUCUCUGAAUCUGCGAACGGCUCCGCAAACCAGUUGUAAACUAUAGCAAGCAGGUCCUUUGCUGGCCCUCACGGGCUGGCACUGGGCGAUAUGGAUAACCCUGGUAAUUCUGAGGCUAAUACAUGAGCGUAAACCCUGGUUGACCGGGCUUCGGCCUGGGAUUCUGGGGGGCGUGCGAUUUCAGGCUUGGUAACUCCGGGAAAGGGCGCACGUCCAGACCGCGCUAUAAAGGUCAGUCUCCCUCGGGGGGCUGCCCCAGCGGCUCUUGCUGUGUGCUUCUGACCUAUCAACUAGACGGCAGCGUAAGGGACAUGCUAUGGUGACAACGGGUACAGAGGAUUAGGGUUCGAUCCUGGAGAGUGGGCCUGAGAGAUUGCUCAUACUUCUAAGGAAGGCAGCAGGCGCGCAACGUUCCCAUUGGGCAAUGCCCGAGGGCGUUAGGGGACAUAUGAAUGCCUGCCCAUUGGGUGGGCAAUUCAAAUGGGUCUGUUGUAAAUAGGCUCUCGAGUAACAAU